UACGUAGGGGCUAGCGUUGUCCGGAAUCAUUGGGCGUAAAGCGCGCGUAGGCGGCCCGGUAAGUCCGUUGUGAAAGUCAAAGGCUCAACCUUUGAAAGCCGAUGGAUACUGCCGGGCUAGAGUCCGGAAGAGGCGAGUGGAAUUCCUGGUGUAGCGGUGGAAUGCGCAGAUAUCAGGAGGAACACCGAUAGCGAAGGCAGCUCGCUGGGACGGUACUGACGCUGAGGCGCGAAAGCGUGGGGAGCGAACAGG
rnacentral:rRNA from 1 species